rnacentral:rRNA from 1 species
GAUGAACGCUGGCGGCGUGCCUAAUACAUGCAAGUCGAGCGAACAGACGAUGAGCUUGCUCCUUCGACGUUAGCGGCGGACGGGUGAGUAACACGUAGGUAACCUACCUAUAAGACGGGGAUAACUUCGUGAAACCGGAGCUAAUACCGGAUAAUAUUUCGAACCGCAGGGUUCGAUAGUGAAAGAUGGCUUUGCUAUCACUUAUAGAUGGACCUGCGCCGUAUUAGCUAGUUGGUAAGGUAACGGCUUACCAAGGCAACGAUGCGUAGCCGACCUGAGAGGGUGAUCGGCCACACUGGAACUGAGACACGGUCCAGACUCCUACGGGAGGCAGCAGUAGGGAAUAUUCCGCAAUGGGCGCAAGCCUGACGGAGCAACGCCGCGUGAGUGAUGAAGGCCUUCGGAUCGUAAAACUCUGUUAUUAGGGAAGAACAACAGUGUAAGUAACUGUGCACGUCUUGACGGUACCUAAUCAGAAAGCCACGGCUAACUACGUG